UAGUUCUUUGAAAUUUUGAAGUUCCCAAUUUAACGCUAUCCCUACUUUGACAUGUUAUAUUCCAAAUGUAUUUAUUGAUACUGUGUACAUUUUUUGUCAUUUCUGAUGUCUUUAACAGUUGUUUUAUGUGUGUUUUUCAGGAUUACAUUUCUGUGCGGAAGGAUUAAAAAACUACACCAGACUGGUGGCCAUGACAGAUGUCAGUGGGAAAUUUAAACAUGGACUAGAUACUUUGAUGUGUAGCAAAAAAGUUCAUCGUUGAUGAUGGUGUUUUUCUGUGAUAUAUUGACUGGGAUAGUAUUACUCUUUAGAAAUACAGAGCUGUCAAUGCUUCAAUUUUGUUGUGAAAUUCACAAUCCAUGUCCAAAAGUGCUUGUUUUACUAUACAGCAAAGAAGGAGAAAUUGUACCGGGCCGACACCUAUAUGGCAAAUUCAGAAAGUGGAAUAUCUCAGCAACCAUAGGGUUUACAGUCAUGAAACUUCACACACUAGUAGCUGAUAACAAUACAAAUCAGUGGCUAAAAGGAUAUUUCCAAGGCGAUGAAUUCCAUAUGUCAGAAGGAAAUUUAGAAUCGUACAACCAGUCAGCAGCUACCCAUAAACCAGACCAACCUAUUAAGUCGAGCGGGCAGAAGCUGUGAUUUUCAGUGUAACACCGCAGAAUGACGGCUAGUUUUCGGAUUACAUUUCUGUGCGGAAGGAUUUAAAAACUACACCAGACUGGUGGCCAUGACAGAUGUCAGUGGGAAAUUUAAACAUGGACUAGAUACUUUGAUGUGUAGCAAAAAAGUUCAUCGUUGAUGAUGGUGUUUUUCUGUGAUAUAUUGACUGGGAUAGUAUUACUCUUUAGAAAUACAGAGCUGUCAAUGCUGCAAUUUUGUUGUGAAAUUCACAAUCCAUGUCCAAAAGUGCUUGUUUUACUAUACAGCAAAGAAGGGGAAAUUGUACCGGGCCGACACCUA